UUUAUAAUCAAAAAUUCAAGAAUCCAUAUUCACCUUUCAGAUUUCACUUCCAAAAUAUUCGAUCUGUUUAAAAAUACAACCUAUAAUAUUCAACAAACAAGUUUCAGUCCAUUUUAUUUCGCUUUACAAAUUCGCUUCCACAAAUUCAGCGGUUCACAUCCGGGAACAGCAGGAAAAUCAGUAGAUUACCGAGCAUAAUCUCAUCUGCUGUAAAUCGUCUUCACCAGAAGGAGGUGUAAGCGCAUCUUGACAAACAUCAAAGCAAUAGAGACGAGAGGCCAUCAUAAAACGUCAUUUGUCGAAAUGGACCGAGCGGGAGACAUUGAAGUGCUGAGAUCAAGGCACCUUUUGUCACUUUCGACACAAGAAAGAGCUGAUGGGUCUUCUAUGAGUCAGGGUAUAAACAGAUCAUGUCAUGUUAGAGGCCAAACUCCGGGGCCAUCUUCUGUUCAAACAGAAAUGACCAGGUACUUUCCUGGAUUAUUCUCAAAUCGUAGAGGAAAAUGACGUUUCACUGGACCAUGUCCUGUGCCCAUUAAACCAAAACAAUUUCAGGUCAUGUUCCAUCUGCUGCCAGCCCA